UACGGGGGGGGUAAGCGUUGUUCGGAAUUACUGGGCGUAAAGGGCUCGUAGGCGGCCAACUAAGUCAGACGUGAAAUCCCUCGGCUUAACCGGGGAACUGCGUCUGAGACUGGCGGGCUUGAGUACAGGAGAGGAAAGCGGAAUUCCAGGUGUAGCGGUGAAAUGCGUAGAUAUCUGGAGGAACACCGGUGGCGAAGGCGGCAUCCUGGACCGGCAUUGACGCUGAGGCGCGAAAGCCAGGGGAGCAAACGGG
rnacentral:rRNA from 1 species